rnacentral:rRNA from 1 species
GACGAACGCUGGCGGCGUGCUUAACACAUGCAAGUCGAACGGAAAGGCCCUGCUUGCAGGGUACUCGAGUGGCGAACGGGUGAGUAACACGUGGGUGAUCUGCCCUGCACUUCGGGAUAAGCCUGGGAAACUGGGUCUAAUACCGGAUAGGAGCCAUUUUUAGUGUGAUGGUUGGAAAGUUUUUUCGGUGUAGGAUGAGCUCGCGGCCUAUCAGCUUGUUGGUGGGGUAAUGGCCUACCAAGGCGGCGACGGGUAGCCGGCCUGAGAGGGUGGACGGCCACAUUGGGACUGAGAGACGGCCCAGACUCCUACGGGAGGCAGCAGUGGGGAAUAUUGCACAAUGGGCGCAAGCCGGAUGCAGCGACGCCGCGGGGGGGAGGACGGCCUUCGGGUUGUAAACGCCUUUCGCUAGGGACGAAGCUUUUUGUGACGGUACCUAGAGAAGAAGCACCGGCUAACUACGUG